rnacentral:rRNA from 1 species
CACGUAGGCGGCUUUUUAAGUCAGAGGUGAAAUCCCGGGGCUCAACCCCGGAACUGCCUUUGAAACUGGUAAGCUAGAAUCUUGGAGAGGCGAGUGGAAUUCCGAGUGUAGAGGUGAAAUUCGUAGAUAUUCGGAAGAACACCAGUGGCGAAGGCGACUCGCUGGACAAGUAUUGACGCUGAGGUGCGAAAGCGUGGGGAGCAAACA